CAUAAAUAUAUACACCUACUGAGUACCCACAAAUAUUUGUCUUUGUUUAUUUUCUUCUUCUUCUUUUCCUUCUUCCUUCCUUCUUCUUCUCCUCCUCCUGUUCCUCUCCUCCUCCUUCUCUCUCUUCCUCUCCUCCUCCUCCCCUUCCUCCCUCCCUCCUUCUUUUCUUCUUUUCCCUUUCCUUUCCCCUUUCCCUUUUUCCCAUUCCCCUUUCCCCUCCUUUCUUCUUCCCCUUUUCCCUUUUCUUCCUUUCCUCUCUCCUCUCUCUUUUCCUUCCUUCCUUCUCUUUUCUUUUUCCUUCUCUUUUCUCUUUCCUUUUCUUCCUCUUUUUUCCUUCCUUCCUUCCUUUUCUUUUUCCUUCUCUUUUCAUUUUCCUUCUCUUUUCUCUUUCCUUUCCUU
rnacentral:lncRNA from 1 species